CUUUUCAUGGGAGAACUUCACUUUCAGUUUUUUGAAGUUGUGAGACAGUAUGUUCUGGAGUAUAGGUGUGGAAGUCAAGAAGUCUUGAGUUCUAGUCAUCAGACUGUCACUGACUUUGUUGAGUGAGGAAAAGAGGUCCUUGCAAAAGGUUUCCAUGAUGGCAGGAGGACAUGAAUCACCUGCUUAGACACACUGUGUAUACGAAGCUCUACCCUGUCAGGACAAGGGCUUCCUGAUUGGGAUCGCGUGAGGCGCAAUGGUUUUGCAUGAUGAUCUGAGGUUUGCCAGAGCUGGUGCUGCCAGAGGGACUGAUGGGCAGGAGCUUCAUUAUCAGAGGAUGGAAUCCACUGCUAAUGCAGUUUCUUUUUGGUGCCAUGAUGAGAACACUGGCAGUUUCUUGUUCAAAUGAGUGGCACCUCCAGUAUCCCUAGAUGGAGGAAGAGCUGAUCUGGCACUCCCUGAUCCAGAGACCGCUCAGGAGGAUCUGUUACAGACUAACUCAGCCUGUGUGUCAUUUUCUCCCCUGUCAGGUUUACAGCUCUGUGUCUCAAGUGAUUUCUUCCUAAAACUGCUGCCCCCAAGGAUACAACACCUAUCGCACAAAGAGGUGGUCAUUCUGAGUUGGGGAUGAAGCACACAGGCAAAGAGCCACUGUGGUGGUAUACGCUCUUCGAAUAGAGGACUGCGGUCUCCAGGGCUGCAGACUUUCACUAGCACUAAAAUGCAUUUUUGAAAAUGAAAGAACUAACAAAACUGGUUAGGAAAAACUCUUCCUGAAAAAACAUGUCCCAGUGCUUGACUUUUAAGCAGGUUUCUCCAUUACUGUGAGGUGGAUCAACUCCAAACAUUGAGGUUUGCAUGGGGCAUCUACCCUCAUGUGGAUCUAUUUGCUGAGGCCUAAAAUUUAUAAUGGAGUUAGAAGUUGCUCUAUAAUAAUCACACAAAACCAUGGUACAAGAACAAAGUCCUAGCAGAAACAAUCUAACUUCAUAAGAAGCAUGCAUUAUGUAUUACAGAAAAA